CCUACGGGCGGCAGCAGUGAGGAAUAUUGGUCAAUGGACGGAAGUCUGAACCAGCCAUGCCGCGUGCAGGAAGACGGCUCUAUGAGUUGUAAACUGCUUUUGUACAAGGGUAAACCUGCAUACGUGUAUUCAGCUGAAAGUACUGUACGAAUAAGGAUCGGCUAACUCCGUGCCAGCAGCCCCGGUAAUACGGAGGAUCCAGGCGUUAUCCGGAUUUCUUGGGUUUAAGGGGUGCGUGGGCGGACAGUCAAGUCAGUGGUAAAAGUGCGGGGCUAAACUCCGAACAGCCGUUGAGACUGGCGUGCUUGAGUGGGCGAGAAGUAUGCGGAAUGCGUGGUGUAGCGGUGAAAUGCAUAGAUAUGACGAAGAACCCCGAUUGCGAAGGCAGCAUACUGGAGCGCAACUGACGCUGAGGCACGAAAGCGUGGGUAUCGAACAGGAUUAGAUACCCUAGUAGUC
rnacentral:rRNA from 1 species